rnacentral:lncRNA from 1 species
CGGCGAACUGUCUCCGAGCGGAGCCGGGCUGGAUUGGAUUGGACCCCUGGGCGGGAAAGGACGGACGGGUUAAGUAGCCAAUCACCAAUUGCGCUCCAGCCAGAGGGGCGAUGUUCUUGGGGAGCCUGGGGAUCUGGAAGAAGUUCAGUGUGAGGACGAGUGUUAGGAAAUAAGGCUGAAGACAGAGGCAACCCUGGAGGAUCUUCUAACCCAUGUCAAGCAGUUGAGAAUUUAUGGAGUGAAAUAGCAAGCCAUUGAAGAGUUUCAAGCUUUCAUCCAGCUUUUAAGGGAAACUAAUAUCUCAUGAAAUUGUGAGGGCCUGGAAUCUUCAAAGAGCCAAGGAUUCUGCCAGACUGAGCAAUAGACUUGAUGAGCAUUCUCCACUUAAGAUCUGAACUAUGAGAAGUCGAAUCAAAGCAGUUCUUUUGUAAUUCCAAACAGCCAUUUAGACAUAUGAAGAAAUGAAAGUAAAGCAGUUCUAAAGACAAGGAAGAGGGUCAAUGAAAGGUGCUCCCAAUGCAAUCACAAAGAUCUUUAAAAGUGGAAGAAGGUGGGAGAGGUCAGAGUGAUACGAAGAGAACUCAGUCUACCACUGCUGGCUUUGAAGAUGGAAGAAUGGGGCUAUGAGCCCUGGAUUGCGGGCAGCCUGCAGAAGCUGGGGCAGAGAUUCCACACAGGCACCUCUAGAAAAUAAUGCAGCCAGCCAAUCCUUAGACUUUAUCCCAGUGAGAGUCAAGUUGGACUUCUGACCUACAAAAGAGUAAAUAUCUAAAUUAUCUGUGGCAACAACUUGGUGGGGUCAACUCGAAUGUUUUUGUCGGCUGUUCUUGAAGACUUCUGGGUCUCUACAACCACAUUCUUUGGCUGGUGCCAGUGUUUAAGCACUCUGAAACUGCAUAGCAGCAUGUUUGAAGGUGGCCUGUCAAAUUUGGGAAACUGACGGUGUGACUGAGCUAGUCACAGGGGUCUUCACAGAAAAGGCAGUCGGGGUCCUGGUCAACUGGAGAUUCCAUCUGAAUGAUGAGAAGAAUACACCUUGGCAGCUGCUGGAUCAAGGCAAAUGAGAGACCCAUGGAGCUCACUAAAUCCAACUCUACAGCUUGGAGCUAAGCCUAACUUAGCCAAGUCUAAACCAGUUUGACCUCAGCCAAUUCACAGAUGUUUGAGCCAGAAGUAAGGUGCUUGUUGCUGGAAGCCAGUUAAAUUUUGAGAUCUUUUUGAAAAAUAUAUUGUCAUUGCAGACAUAGAUGCACAUAGUUUUCCACACUGUGGGAAGUCAAAUUAAGCAUGCUUAGACUUUUAAAGCAGAAGCCCAUUAUUAGUGGGGUGGCAAAAAUGUUACAAGUGACAUAGUCCUCCAAUUUCCUUCUUCUAGCCCUCUGCCUAAGAACUAGUGUACUUCAUUUUGAAGUGGAGCCCUAACGGGAGUGUUCAUCUUCUGUCAACAGGGUUAAGCCUCUUGACGCUUACUGGGCACUCACAGUUGUUAGUUCCCUGGAAGACAUGAAAGAGCUUGAUUGGUUCUGUAGUCGUCAGUCAAUAACCAACUGUAACAUACCUACACUUCCAACAAAAUCUUGAUUUGGGAAAUUGAGUGUCUGCUUAUAGUUAAUCCUCUAUUUUUUGACACCUAGUAGGAAAAACAUUUUCAAAAGAGCCAUGACCUGACUCAGUUAAUAUGCAAGGAAAAAUAAGCAGUUCCAAACUUGUCAGUUUAUCCAUCAUCCCUUAUCCAAAAUCCUUCAACUCUCUUGGAAUUAUUUUGUUCUUCAUACUUGCCCAACAAAUAUCUUACUCUUGUCUUGGACUUUAUUUUAUAGUUAUCUCACAUAAGCUCCUUGUGGCUAAGGGCACAUAUUUGGAAUCAGACUACCCUAGUUCAACUCUUGGGUCUACCAUUUAUUAGCUUGUAUUACUUUGGGAAAGAUAAUUAAAUUCUCCAGAUCUAAUUUCCCCCAUUAUAAGAUAAUAAUAGUUAUUACCUGCUAGGAUUGUCUUGAGAAGUAAAUUAGAUAAUUCAUAAGAACCAUUUAACACAGUGCCAGCCACAUAAUGAAGGCAUAGUAAGGGAAAGUUAUUAUGCUGUUGAUAAUACUUGUCUAGGCAGGGGUCUCAUAUUUUUCCCUGUAUCCAUUACUGUACAAUUCAUCUGUCCCAUGACAUUCUAAGAUUGUUUUAGAGUGAGUUGCUUCAGAGUUGAAUAAUUCUAAUAAUAUAUUCUCAUGUUUGGAAACAACUUGGAAUUCCAUUUAGUGUAGACAUCAACAAUGAAAUCGCUAGAGGAUGAGUAAUUUCUACAAUUUUUAUUCAUUAUAGAGAGACCAAUGGGUAUAAUGGUGAAAAGAACUGAGUAGAAGGUCAGGAGGUCAAAGAGACUGAGUUUAAACCCUCACUCUGCUGAGUACUGUUAAUAAUGGUAUGAUCUUAAGAGAACUAAUCUUUAGUUUUUCCCACCUUAAAAACAGAGUUGUCAUGAGUAUUUAAUAAUAGAGGGUAGUAUGUAAACUUCCUGGCAUAUAGCAACUGCUCAACAAAUAGAAGUUAUAGUUUUUUCUUAACUUGCCAAAGAGCCAAGGGAAAAAUGAAGAUUUUGUAGCCAAAGCCAUUUAUCUUUCUCUGUUAUGUGCCUAUCUGUUCCAGAAACAGAAUCAAUUCCUUGAACCUCAUCAAAGGAAGGAUUUGAACAUUUAAAAAAAAAUCAAUCUCUUUGGGUUUGUUAUUGCUUGUUUCCCAUACCUCAGAGACACAAAUACAAACCUUUAUAAUGUCAUCAGGAAGAAGAGGAGUCAAACACUCCUUAACUCAAUAAUUGCAAUGUUAUUAUUUUGCAAGGAAUAGAGUCAAAAUUCCAUUCACAUGAGGACUGUAACUUCUUCAUUACUCCUUGAGGCACGAUGUCCUUGAUUUUAAGUAGCUCAUGUAGAAACUAGUUGUAAGUCUUUAGCGGAGAGACUGUACUGGAAUUAUAGGAUCUACUUAGGGGUUUGAGCUUCCCCACCCACUUAGAGUGACAGUUCACACCUAUAAAAACACAAAAGUCCGGGGGUUUAUUAAACAUUAGGAGAUCCAAAGAGCCAAGACUUCUACCUGUAAAAGUGGUGCUUCCUAAGCAGAAGAAAUGGAAUUUCUCAGAGAAUACAGCUUGGCUUGACCAAUGGACUGUAC